UACGGAGGAGGCAAGCGUUAUCCGGAAUUAUUGGGCGUAAAGCGUCCGCAGGUGGCUAUUCAAGUCUGCGGUCAAAGACUGGGGCUUAACCCUGGAAAGGCCGUGGAAACUGAAGAGCUAGGAGUGCGGUAGGGUAGGAGGAUUCCCGGUGUAGCGGUGAAAUGCGUAGAGGCUCGGGAAGAACAUCGGUGGCGAAAGCGCUCUGCUGG
rnacentral:rRNA from 1 species